rnacentral:tRNA from 1 species
GGGGUUGUAGCUCAGAGGUAGAGUGCUUGCCUACCAUGCAUGGGGCACUGGAUUCAAUCCUCAGCACCA